rnacentral:rRNA from 1 species
CAGGUAGUUGGUAGGGUAACGGCCUACCAAGCCGAAGACGGGUAGCUGGUCUGAGAGGAUGAUCAGCCACACUGGAACUGAGACACGGUCCAGACUCCUACGGGAGGCAGCAGUGGGGAAUCUUGCGCAAUGGGCGAAAGCCUGACGCAGCGACGCCGCGUGAGUGAUGAAGGCCUUCGGGUUGUAAAGCUCUGUGGAGGGGGACGAAUAAGGGCCGUCGAAUAGCCGGCCCGAUGACGGUACCCCUUUAGCAAGCACCGGCUAACUCUGUGCCAGCAGCCGCGGUAAGACGGAGGGUGCAAGCGUUAUCCGGAUUCACUGGGUUUAAAGGGUGCGUAGGCGGGCAGAUAAGUCAGCGGUGAAAUCCCCGAGCUUAACUUGGGAACUGCCGUUGAUACUAUUUGUCUUGAAUGUCGUGGAGGUUAGCGGAAUAUGUCAUGUAGCGGUGAAAUGCUUAGAUAUGACAUAGAACACCCAUUGCGAAGGCAGCUAACUACGCGGAUAUUGACGCUGAGGCACGAAAGCGUGGGGAUCAAACAGGAUUAGAUACCCUGGUAGUCCACGCCCUAAACGAUGAUUACUCGACAUUGGCGAUACACUGUCAGUGUCUGAGCGAAAGCAUUAAGUAAUCCACCUG